AGGGUUUGAUCAUGGCUCAGAACGAACGCUGGCGGCGUGGAUAAGACAUGCAAGUCGAACGGAAAUUGAGCAUAGCUUGCUAAGCUCAAUUUUAGUGGCGGACGGGUUAGUAACACGUGAGAUACCUACCCUUUAGACAGGAAUAGCCCAUGGAAACGUGGAUUAAUGCCUGAUAGUCUCUACGGAGUAAAGGAUGCCUUCGGGUGUCGCUGAAGGAUGGGCUCGCGGCCUAUCAGUUUGUUGGUGAGGUAAAAGCUCACCAAGACUACGACGGGUAGCUGGUCUGAGAGGACGAUCAGCAACACUGGAACUGAGACACGGUCCAGACACCUACGGGUGGCAGCAGUCGAGAAUCAUUCACAAUGGAGGAAACUCUGAUGGUGCAACGCCGCGUGGAGGAUGACGGCCCUAGGGUUGUAAACUCCUGUCAUUGGGGAGUAAGGCUUAUUCGUUAAUAGCGUGUAAGUUUGAUAGUACCCAAAGAGGAAGGGACGGCUAACUUCGUGCCAGCAGCCGCGGUAAUACGAAGGUCCCAAGCGUUGUUCGGAAUAACUGGGCGUAAAGCGUGUGUAGGCUGCGCGGAAAGUCAAAUGUGAAAGCCAGGGGCUCAACCUCUGAACUGCAUUCGAUACUCCCGUGCUAGAGUAAU
rnacentral:rRNA from 1 species